GACGAACGCUGGCGGCGUGCUUAACACAUGCAAGUCGAACGGAAAGGCCUGCUUUCCCUUGUGGAUUGCGGGUACUCGGGUGGCUAACGGCUGAGUAACACGUGAGUGAUCUGCCCCCAACUUGGGUAUAAGCCUGGGAAACUGGGUCUAAUUCCCGAUAGGACUUCAGGGUGGUGCCUGUGGUGGGCAACGAUUUUAUCGUAGUUGGGGAUGAGCUGGCGGCGUAUGAGCUUGUUGUUGGGGUAAUGGCCUACCAAGGCGGCGACGGGUAGCCGGCCUGAGAGGGUGGACGGCGACAUUGGGACUGAGACACGGCCCAGACGCCUACGGGAGGCAGCAGUGGUGAAUAUUGGACAAUGGGCGGAAUCCAGAUGCAGCGACGCCGUGAGGAGGAUGACGGGCUUCGGGUGGUAAACUCCUUGGGAGCGCGAGGAAUCCACCUGGUUGGAAGGGUGGUGACGGUAGUGGUAGAAGAAGCACCGGCUAACUACGUG
rnacentral:rRNA from 1 species